rnacentral:rRNA from 1 species
AUUGAACGCUGGCGGCAUGCCUUACACAUGCAAGUCGGACGGCAGCACGGGAGCAAUCCUGGUGGCGAGUGGCGAACGGGUGAGUAAUGUAUCGGAACGUGCCCAGUCGUGGGGGAUAACGUAGCGAAAGCUACGCUAAUACCGCAUACGAUCUGUGGAUGAAAGCGGGGGACCGUAAGGCCUCGCGCGAUUGGAGCGGCCGAUAUCAGAUUAGGUAGUUGGUGGGGUAAAGGCCUACCAAGCCGACGAUCUGUAGCUGGUCUGAGAGGACGACCAGCCACACUGGGACUGAGACACGGCCCAGACUCCUACGAGAGUCAGCAGUGGGGAAUUUUGGACAAUGGGCGCAAGACUGAUCCAGCAAUGCCGCGUGCAGGAUGAAGGCCUUCGGGUUGUAAACUGCUUUUGUACGGAGCGAAAAGGCUCUCUCUAAUACAGGGGGCUCAUGACGGUACCGUAAGAAUAAGCACCGGCUAACUACGUGCCAGCAGCCGCCGUAA